rnacentral:rRNA from 1 species
GACCUGGCUGGGUGGUCUUGCUGAAAGGUAAGCACUGCUCUGGUCGGGUCUUUCCUUCUGGAGAACCAGUGUGCUCUUGAUUGGGUGCGCUGGGGAUCCAGGACUUUUACUUUGAAAAAAUUAGAGUGUUUAAAGCAGGCUCACGCUUGAAUACAUUAGCAUGGAAUAAUAGAAUAGGAC